rnacentral:piRNA from 1 species
UGCCAAGGACAUAGAAUAUAGAAACCCUACU